UACGGAGGGUGCGAGCGUUGUCCGGAAUCACUGGGCGUAAAGGGCGCGUAGGCGGUGCGAGAAGCGUGUGGUGAAAGGCCGGGGCUCAACUCCGGCUCGGCCGUGCGGACUCUCGCGCUUGAUGAGUGCUGUGGAGGCGGGCGGAAUUCCGGGUGUAGCGGUGGAAUGCGUAGAGAUCCGGAAGAACACCGGUGGCGAAGGCGGCCCGCUGGGCAGUGACUGACGCUGAGGCGCGACAGCGUGGGGAGCAAACAGG
rnacentral:rRNA from 1 species